CGGCGGCAGUGGUUCUCUGUGCGCGGCGGCGGUGGCAGUGGUGGCGCCGGACGGAGUUAGGCGCGCGCGGCGGCGGCGGCAGGGAAGGGGUUAGGCGCGCGCGUGGCUGCGCGGGCAACGAGGCGAGCGCGCGGCGCGAGGUUAGGGAUGGCCUCGACACGUGGGGCCCACCUGCCAGAGAGAGGGAGAGAGGGAGAGAGGAGGGGAGAGGAGAGGUAGUCGUGGGCUGGGCCAGGAAGGGGAGGGAGAGCAAAUUUUCUUUUUUUUUUACUUUAGUAAUUUAUUUGUUUAGUGAAAUAUAUGUAUGUAUUAUUUAUAAUUAUUAUUUCAUAUGUGAUUAUGUUAAAUACUUGUUAUUUCAUAUGUUAAAUACUUAUUAUUUUAUAUGUGAUUAUGUUGUAUAGAAAUAUAUGUAUGUAUUAUUUGUAUAGAAAUAUAUGUAUGUAUUAUUUAUAGUUAUUAUUUCAUAUGUGAUUAUGUUAAAUACUUGUUAUUUCAUAUGUUAAAUACUUAUUAUUUCAUAUGUGAUUAUGUUGUAUAGAAAUAUAUGUAUGUAUUAUUUGUAUAGAAAUAUAUGUAUGUAUUAUUUAUAAUUAUUAUUUCAUAUGUGAUUAUGUUGUAUAGAAAUAUAUGUAUG
rnacentral:lncRNA from 1 species